rnacentral:piRNA from 1 species
UGNGAGGCUGCCUACUUGGAACAUCCC